rnacentral:lncRNA from 1 species
UUUUGGUGGGUAAAGAUUAUGUUUUUUGCAGUGAAGAAUAUGAGAAGAGAGAAAAAUAAAGGGGAAGAAGAAAAGAAAAAUAAAGAAAUAAAAAGAAAAAAAUUCAAUUGUUCAAAAAAAUAUAAGUAUAGGGACUAGUUUUAACAAAUGGAAAACAUAGAAAAACUACGUUAAAAGAAAUGAAGAAGGCAGGAAAACAAA